UACGGAGGAUCCAAGCGUUAUCCGGAAUCAUUGGGUUUAAAGGGUCCGUAGGCGGUUUUGUAAGUCAGUGGUGAAAGCCCAUCGCUCAACGGUGGAAACGGCCAUUGAUACUGCAAGACUUGAAUUAUUUAGGAAGUAAACUAGAAAUAUGUAGUGUAGCGGUGAAAAUGCUUAGAUAUUUACAUGGAAAUACCAAAUUUGCGAAGGCAGGUUACUACUAAUGGAAUUUGACGCUGAGACACGAAAAGCGUGGGGUAGCAA
rnacentral:rRNA from 1 species